UCAAGGGCCAAAUGGUAAUUUUAGUACUUAAAUUGAGAGAAUAGGGAUGGGGAGGUACUAGAAGUGUUAUUAUGGAAUGAAGUUUAUGGGAUCAGGGUAUAUAAACCCGUCACCCAUUAAACCCUAACCCUAAUUGGGUUUUGCAGCCGCCAACUUCAAUUCAACUCCUUCCAGCCGCCACCACCUCUUAUUCCUCCGAUCUCCGAUGCUGCAACACCCCCACUGCCAUCGAGUCACAACCGCCGUGAACAACCUGUUGUUGGCGUCGAGGACCACCCGGAAAACCCACGUACGGAGUUGCUAUCGCCGCUCAGAUCGUCAAUGAGCUCACGAAUGGGCAUCUCUCCGCUGCUGAUGUUGUUUCGCCUCGGAGAUGCCACCGAUAACACCGAUGGUAGGCGUUGUUGUCACUCGCGAUUAGCCACUGCCACUGCCACUGCUGGACGUCGGGGACGAUCGGGAGAGAUGAUUGGAGCCUCCACCUGCCGCCGCAGAUGCUGCUGAUGAAGACGAGGACCACCGUCGGGUCCGUUCCUCUGCCGUUGUAGCUAUCGUUCGAAGCGUGCGCCGACGUGGGAGAGUUAUGCCGCCAAGGGCCACCGCCGCUGCCCGCUUUUCAUGUUCCUGCUGCCGUCGCUGCCCACCUCAGUUCGGAAAUCUGUCAAUCAGCAGCUGGAGUGUACCUGCGGGACUUCAGCAGUGUCAGGUAUUCUGAUGAUCGCAAGAAGGCGAAGGCGUGAUCGUGCACCUUCUUACAUUUUCAUGAUUGAUUCUAGGGAUACUCUGAUGUUUAAACUAUUUAGAAAGUAAAUUGUAAUAACUUAAUGGUUUUAAAUGUUUUAAAAAGUUUUAAAUUGGCUUGAAUUUUACGAGUGUUACAGUU